GAAGAUGCCGCCAAAGCUGCAAAAAAUGGCGGUGGUAGAUUGUUGUAAAGGUGUGAAAAGAAAAUGUGAAGAGCAUCCACUAAAAAUUGCACCUGACAAGGAACAAGUAGCUAGUGACCAUACCUUUGUUGCCUGGACCCCUUUGGAAUAUUAACAACUUGUCAAACGACAUCUUGUCUCCUCCUUGAAGUGUGGUUAAGUGUAUAAUGAGUACAUUUCUUGGUGCCGAAACCCGGGACUAUUUUGAACGCACAGGACAACGAAGACGCCGCCAAAGCCGCAAAACAUGGCGGUGAUAGAUUGUCGUAAGAAUGUGAAAAGAAAAUGUGAAGAGCAUCCAGUAAAAAAUUUGCAGCUGACAAGGAACAAGUAGCUAGUGACCAUACCUUUGUUGACCGGACCCCUUUGGAAUAUUAACAACUUGUCA